rnacentral:snRNA from 1 species
AACCUCCAAAACGAUCUA